rnacentral:rRNA from 1 species
UACGUAGGGGGCGAGCGUUGUCCGGAAUCAUUGGGCGUAAAGAGCUCGUAGGCGGUUCAGCAAGUCGGCUGUGAAAUUCCGAGGCUCAACCUCGGACCUGCAGUCGAUACUGCUGUGACUCGAGUCCGGUAGAGGAGAAUGGAAUUCCCGGUGUAGCGGUGAAAUGCGCAGAUAUCGGGAGGAACACCAGUAGCGAAGGCGGUUCUCUGGGCCGGUACUGACGCUGAGGAGCGAAAGCGUGGGGAGCAAACAGG